rnacentral:rRNA from 1 species
UACAGAGGGGGCAAGCGUUGUCCGGACUUACUGGGUGUAAAGCGCAUGUAGGUGGCUGUGCAAGUAUGCUGUGAAAGCCCCGUGCUUAACACGGGGAGGCCAGUAUAGACUGCACGGCUCGAGGACUGCAGAGGGUAGGGGAAUUGCUGGUGUAGUGGUGAAAUGCGUAGAGAUCAGCAGGAACACCAAGGACGAAGGUACCUACCUGGGCAGUAUCUGACACUCAAGUGCGACAGCGUGGGGAGCGAACCGG